rnacentral:tmRNA from 1 species
GUAGUGGUCUGCAAGAUGGCGAGCCGUGUCGCCGAGCACGUAAAAGCGGCAAGGCUAUAAACGCCAAUCGCGAACUGGCUUACGCUGCGUAAGUAGCUAAGUCACCCGGGGUUCGCCCCGGCGCCGGCCCGUUCUGAGUCAGCAGGAACGGUGUCCGGCGGAAAUUUAGCUGACUCGCUCCCGGCGGGCGUCGCGGCCGCCGGGGGGACUUUCCACCGCGACUGGCCGUAGCGGAUCCGGUCUCAAGGGAGCCGUUGCGGCGAGAUGAAAUCCGAGACUACGCUCGUAGAUGUCUUGCGGGACGCUGCUUCGGACGCGAGUUCGAUUCUCGCCGCCUCCACCA